ACUCAAAUGGUGGCAUCCCAAGCUGUCAUGAAGGAGAUUAUCACGAAGGCAACUGCUGACGGUACACUUCAUACGAGAGACUGGGACACCGAGCCUCUUUUCCCCAUGUCCAGUGUGGAUGCUGAUAAGAAGGAAAGAGUAAUAUUCUCAGCACCAGUUUCUUCAUCUCCAAAAAGUAAGAGAAGUCCGAGUAGGCGAUAUAAAAGUAGGUGGGAGCCUUUAGAAGUGGAGAAACCAACGGUCCAACCUGCAUCAGUCACUCCUGAUGCUUCUAAGUAUGGGAGUUGGAAUAAACAGUUUUCAGGUGGAAAGUUAGAUAUCAAGGUGAAUAAUUCGAGUCAUGUGAAAUUUUCUUUACCACAGCGGAAAACCCCCAAAACUGAUGUCUUUAGGCCAGCUAAGAGGCAGUGUGUUGGUGAUGAAAUGGAUGUGACAGAUAACGGUGAAGCAUCCAGUGAUAGUGAUAAGGAACGAAGUCAAUCAGCCUAUAAAUCUGCUGCAGGAGCAGCGGCAGAUACACCAGAGGAAAGAAAGAGACGUGAAAAUCGAUCAAAGCGUUUUGAGAGAGGGCAUGGAAGUCGCAUAGCUGCUAAUGAUAAUCGAUCCAGAAAUGGAGGAGCUGGAAAUGUGUAUGCAAGGAGGGCUACUGCCUUGGUGCUUAGUAGAAACAUUGAGGAAAAUGGUAACUGUGCUGUUGAAGAUAUUGAUUGGGAUGCUCUUACUGUCAAAGGAACCUGCCAGGAAAUUGAGAAACGCUACUUACGUCUUACUUCUGCACCUGACCCUGCAACUGUGAGACCAGAAGAAGUCUUGGAAAAAGCAUUAAAAAUGGUUCAAAGUUCUCCGAAGAACUACCUUUACAAAUGUGAUCAGUUAAAAUCAAUACGGCAAGAUCUUACAGUCCAACGCAUACGCAACGAGUUAACAGUCAAGGUGUAUGAAACACAUGGUCGGUUGGCAAUAGAAG
rnacentral:misc_RNA from 1 species